GAUGAACGCUAGCUACGGGCUUAACACAUGCAAGUCGAGGGGCAGCGGUAUCGAAAGCUUGCUUUCGGUAGCCGGCGACCGGCGCACGGGUGAGUAACGCGUAUCGAACCUGCCUCAUACUCGGGAAUAGCCUUGCGAAAGUAAGAUUAAUGCCCGGUGUUUUCAGAGUCCCGCAUGAGGCUUUGAACAAAGAUUUAUCGGUAUGAGAUGGCGAUGCGUCCCAUUAGCUUGUUGGCGGGGUAACGGCCCACCAAGGCAUCGAUGGGUAGGGGUUCUGAGAAGAAGGUCCCCCACAUUGGAACUGAGACACGGUCCAAACUCCUACGGGAGGCAGCAGUGAGGAAUAUUGGUCAAUGGGCGGAAGCCUGAACCAGCCAAGUAGCGUGCAGGAAGACGGCCCUCCGGGUUGUAAACUGCUUUUAGUUGGGAAUAAAACGGGGCUCGUGAGCCCCCUUGCAUGUACCAUCAGAAAAAGGACCGGCUAAUUCCGUG
rnacentral:rRNA from 1 species